GAGAGGGAUGUUGUAAUUAGGGAUAAAUGAGGGCAGCGAUCCGCCGGGGUACGCUUCCCCGAUGUAAUUUGUUUUUUAUUGAAUAUAUUUAUCAACAUUAAUUGACUUUCCGAAAAUGAAACUUACCUCGGCUACGCCGCUCUCUCCGCACAAAUUCAAUACGCCGGGAUCACCUAAAGCAGGUGUGCGCCCCCCCCCCUCGGCGGGCGGUGUUUCGCCGCCCCGCGCGGCGGUGUGGCCCAGCAAAAUUGAUCCCGGCUACAGUCGUUCAUUAAUAUCGAUUAUUGGGGAACAUCAUUUGUUUGCGUUAUUUCCGAUGAGAUGGGUGGACAGCAUCUCGGCACGUCUGAGGUGCGGGAGAGUUACGGCCGGAUGCUGAAUUCUUGAAGAGGUUUGCCAGCUGGACCAGAAGCUUGCAGAUUCAUUCCAGAACAGCCACGCAUUUCUGGAGAUAAGACGCCGGUCGAGGCUGAUGAGCAGGGAGAUGCCUGUUCCUUCCGUAGAGAUGCUUGUCUCCCCGACACCGUACCUGCCAGUCUCACAUCCACAGGUGUGAGUCGAAAUUCACUGUCGCUGGCGAGCCCAUCCAGUUGUGCACACUCGCUCAUUUUUAAACAUCCAUUGGUUUGUAAAUCCAGUGUAUGCACCUAAAAUUAUAAACAAUAAAAAAAAAAACGAUGUUUGUGGCUUUACUGGGAUUCCAUUUAUGUGCCCAAG